CCUACGGGUGACAGCAGUGAGGAAUAUUGGUCAAUGGACGAGAGUCUGAACCAGCCAAGUAGCGUGAAGGAUGACUGCCCUAUGGGUUGUAAACUUCUUUUAUAUGGGAAUAAAAUGUUCCACGUGUGGGAUUUUGUAUGUACCAUAUGAAUAAGGAUCGGCUAACUCCGUGCCAGCAGCCGCGGUAAUACGGAGGAUCCGAGCGUUAUCCGGAUUUAUUGGGUUUAAAGGGAGCGUAGGUGGAUGGUUAAGUCAGUUGUGAAAGUUUGCGGCUCAACCGUAAAAUUGCAGUUGAAACUGGCAGUCUUGAGUACAGUAGAGGUGGGCGGAAUUCGUGGUGUAGCGGUGAAAUGCUUAGAUAUCACGAAGAACUCCGAUUGCGAAGGCAGUUCACUGGACUGCAACUGACACUGAGGCUCGAAAGUGUGGGUAUCAAACAGGAUUAGAUACCCGGGUAGUC
rnacentral:rRNA from 1 species